GGUAAUGUGGUCAGCUCACAGGUGACAGAGCUAGAGGGGAGGAGGGGUGUGCUUUGUUCACUCACUGAGGACCUUCCUCACUUCAUCUCCUCUCUGCCCUGCAGUCCAAUGGAAGCCCUUUCUCACUUCCCAGCGUGGGCAAACAAAUAUCUUUGGACUAGAUAUCUGAACACUUCUUCAGUGACAGCUGAAAACUCAACAAAGCAAAGCAUCUUGAAAAGAAAUUCUACAAAGUCAGAGGAGCUGAGAUCUGCACCCAUAGAGAGCUGGCCCCCAUUAUGGAUGAAAUUUCAGUACCUUGAUCUGGUGUGGUGGAGAAAGCACUGA
rnacentral:lncRNA from 1 species